rnacentral:lncRNA from 10 species
GUGUGGAAUGGUUGAUGUACCUUAAAUUAGAAUUGCUCUGCCCUGAGACUUCUUCCUGUUCUGGGAAAUGUUGCAUUGUUCUUGUUGACUGAAUGAGUUAAGGCAGGAUGUUUCUGUUCCUGGGAUCCCAGUUUAAACUAGGCAGAAAUCUGCACAAAGAACAAAUCCAGGUACAGUCAUGUUGGCCAGGCUGAGCCUGCCAUGGGAGCUCAUAGCAAAAGCAUGCAAGAGCCCUGAUUUAUUGCCUUCAUCUCAGACCUAAAAUAAGCAGUAUGAAUUGACAAUUGUCCUUUGAAAAAGUCCCACCGAGAGCAGACUUUCAUUAUGAAGGCAGUACCCCUACAAAAGGAAGAUGGAGGGCAAGACUGAGACGUUUGCUUGCGGGCAUUCUGUUGGGCAGCCGAACCUGUCUCCCCUCGCUGGGGCAGCAGCGAUCUUCACUAUCAGUGCAAAUGAAAAUCAUAGGAGUAAAGAUGAAUUGCAGCCACAUUCUUUGAAGAAAUAUAAUUUGGAAUCUAUAAUCGUCACUGCCAUGCAGAAGGAACAGGUCCAAAACAGAACAGCGCUUCUGAGUGUGCCAUCUUCCUCCGGAUUACAAGGACUGGCUUUCCUUAUCUUCAAUAAGUCUUUAAAUGUCUAUUCCUGAAGCAGGACAGAGGAUAUUACUUGAAUGAUCUGGAGCAAAUCCAUAAUUUUUCUUGAAAGAGCGCACCCUGUGGGAAACUCAUUGAAUCCUCCUUGCAUCUGAGCGACAUUUCUUUUCAAUCAAGUGUGUUCCAAUAAAGGAGUUAGGUAUUGUUUGGGGACUUGAUUUUAUUCACAAGGAAUGAGACAGAAUACAAGCCAUUAUAUAGCAACAGAGUGGGUUGCUUCAUCAAACCCAGGAGAAUUGAGUUGGGCCUGUUCCUCAACUGUCCUAAGUCGCUGAAACUGACUCUGAGAUGGAGAUUUGCAUGCAGGAGGUUUGUUGAGGACAAAUCUUGGGAGCAAUGCCUGCUGGGGAGGGUUUAGAUGGGAUGAGCACCUGCAGCAAUUAAACAGCAAUGCAAUUGCUUCCGAGGCCUCAGCCCAUUCCACCAGAGCUCUCAACAGAGAAUGAUUCCACAGAGACAAGUCUUGAAUGGAGACUUUGCAGCCCUGCAUCCGCCUGUCCUUCAAGGAUGUUCAGCGAUGACACAAAGUGUCAGUUUCAUUAAUUCAAGCUGCACCUCUCUGGCAGACACUCUACUCCUGGGAAAGUCAGAAAUAGUCUCACAUUCAGGGAGCCUCCAGUCUCCAGAUGACACUUCACUGGAAUCUGAAGGGUGAAGAGGUGGAUUCUGGACCUGGUGUUCUGAGAGGAGUGGUGGGGCCAAAUACAUGAAGAAGAGAAAGCCUGAACCAACAGAUGCAUCUAGCCUGAAUGAGCAUUUUAACAUAUGAGAGAAGUUGAGUCCCGGUGGAGUCCUUACCAUGAAAAUUUUUGCGAAAGAAGUAGGUCUUUCCUGUCUCUAAACCACAGGCCCUGUAAGAGGUCUUCUAGGAGAUGCGCCUCUACUGCCAAUGGAAUGUUCGCUUUUGAUAUGUUCUAAAUAGGAGAGGAAGGUGAAUACAGAAAUUUCACUGAAAAUACACAGAUUCCUUAGUUUUCUCAUGACUGUAAAGAUGCAUCUGUAAUGCAGUCCCUGAAUCACACCACAGCAUUUGGCUUAAUAUUACAGGGACUCGAAUAUGCAUGUUACACACUAACAAGCACUAUGACUCUAUGGAGGGUACCUGCGCUUCGAAUUUCACAACACUGUGCCUUUUAGUUUAUAGUUGUCUCCAAGUCUUAUAGCUAAUAAGAAUCCAGGUGCUCUCAGCUGGGUCUGCAGAUGUCGGGAAUUAGGACAGACACACAGCGGAACGAUUGCUUUCUCUUCCCCCUGGUGUCUGUGACACAGAAGCAUCCAUCCUCAAGAGAGACCCAAAAAGGUCAUCUGGAACAGCAGAGAAGAGAACGCCAAACUACUGACACCAGAAUUCCACAAAUAGACCACGCUAUUGGAAGGGAGUCUGACUUGCUGCAGUUUUAGUGUUAGAAUCAUUCUUUUUAAUGGAAUUGACUCACACUUAGAAAGAUGUGCUUGAUUAUACCAGGUGCCGAAUGGAAACACUACACAUUGACUCCGCUUCCUCUGUCCUUCUAUGACCUCUGCCUCCUUUUAACUUUUUUUAGUUAUUUUUUAUGACAUGGAAAAAUUACUCAAUAUACUUAACUUUAGUUAUUGCUUUUCAGAGAUGUAGAAAUUGUAAUAAUGUUGAAGUUUAAAAAUUAAUCACAUUUUUAAAUGAAUUGUUUAUACGGUUUAUUCGGUAUUUUUUGGAAAUCAUUCAGUAGUAGUAAGUGUGGAGUGUAUCAUCUUUUCAUAUCAUUCCAUAAUUUGUCAUAUUAAUGUUCAUAAUGUCUAAAUUAAGAUUUUAGUUUUCCCCCAAAAUAUUACUAAGUAAAACUUAGGUCUCAUAGGCUGAGCAGCAGGUAAGGUCAUAGUUUUCCUGGCCAAGGCAGAAGAGAGAGCCCUGGGUUAGCAAAGCAGCAUCCUGUGGGUAGGCCCAGCCCUGUCCAGAAAUGUCACGUCACCUGAGUCCUGAACCUAAGCAUCGCAGGAAGCAAAACAGCAGGACUGGCUCAAGUAAUCUGUAACUUUCUAAAAUAGAGAUGAAAGUUUAAGGAAAAAAAAGCUAUUUUGGCCAAACCACCAGGGAAGCCCAUGUUGUCAGUAGGUUGUCUCAUUUGCUUAUACAUGUCUCAUGCAGAUAACAAAGGUAAUAAAGUAUCAACUUCAUGAUUUCACUGUCAGUUUUCUAUUGGCAAGCAUGCCGAAACACGUAAAGCCUGAUCCCAUGAUUCCCUCAUUUUUCUGUUUUCAUUCCUCUCUAAUGCAUAGAAUUCCCUAAACAUGUGUGAGACAUUAGUCAUCAUGCAGAAAACCUUCCUCUGGAGAAACACACGUGGGUGUCCCCAGCUGCAGUCUUGCUCUGUCUCCAUCAACCUCAGCGAGAAACAAGUACAGACUAAUAAGACUUCCCUUUCAUCUUUGGCUCCAGUCUGGUGCUUUUAAAACAUAUUUGGAAAUAGCCCUAAUACACAUUUUGAAAUAAGAACUAAUCAUCAUUGUGUAGAUCACCCUUUCCCCGAAUUCCUGGGUUUUAUUACCUAUACUUAAAAGAAAAUAAUUAUAGAAAUAAGUGCUUAUGCACAAAUAUACUAGAAAAUGAUCCAGUAUCUAAUAAGUUGAAAAUGUAUGCAAAUUUAUAUUUUAAAAUUUUAUUGGAAAUCAAACUUGAAGCUUUUCAUUUGUUCAGGAGCACAAAAAGGCAGAGGAAUCCUCUUAGCCUGGGCAGGGGUGGAUUCACUUGUCUCUCUUGGGGACCAUGGGGGACAUCACUCUCAUUAGAUCUUAGCAGUUAUUGGGAAGGUAUAAGGCACACUUUGCUCAUUCUAUUUCUAAGCUUAAAUAAGUGUGCCAUUAAGCUUAAAUAAUUUUGCCACCUGAUUCCCAUAAGUGGGAGGCAAACACAGUGACCUAUCUUUACUUUUAAACUCAGUAGAAAGUAUUGCAAGAAAAAUUUCCAAAGAUAAGAUAUCCAGAAAGAGGCUCAAUACCAGUAAAUUGUAUAUUACUGAGUGUGGCAUCACUAAUUACAUUUGAGGAAGAAGAAGAUACUAUUCACCUAUUUUUCAACUUAGAUUUUAUCUUCAGAUCUUUAUGAGAUCUGAAAUUGAACUCAAAGGACAGGAUGUUAAGAAAUUUCUCUUAGGAUAAACAGCAGUUUCUAGCUCUUAUCAGGGAAAUAGAACAGACAAAAACAAACCAAAAACAAUGAGGCUCACACAAUAAAUCUUUUCCCAUGUUUUUGGCUGGUGCAUCCACUCAAACUCCAUCUCUAAAGUGAUGGGCUAUAAAACACUUAAUGAGUGUGAGGAAAGGGUGGGUUUUUAAAGCUCCCAGCUAAAUUGGGGUUUUAGUAUCAAAGCAGCUAGCAAUCUUGCCCUAACAAAUGCACAGGAGCUGGAUGUGGGAAUAUACAGGGUGCCUUCAUGGGGUACUUCUUUUACCUGGUAGACAGCCUAAUGUCUAGUGGUCCCACCCAUUACCAGGGGAUCUCUUAGACAGGAAACUUGUUUAGACUGGCAGACACUCUUGUGGCUCUUGUCUGACCUGGGUCCAGAGUAAGCCUGCCUGACCUUUCCUCUGCACUGGGAGACUGACCUUGUGUUCUCCCCUUCCCAGGGAACCCUUGGCCUGGGGCAUCCCCUUCGAAUGGAAGGUGGAAAUUCAAUACACCACCACAAUAGGAAACGUGCUCACAGAUUUUACUAAGAGGCCCUAGUCCAGGAGGGCUCUGUGAGUGGGGAGGGCAGUCCUUUGCCCCCAGGUUAGGGGAGGCAGGAGUGGAGAAUCAGGCAGAGAGAGAGAGAGAGAGAGAGAGAGAGAGAGAGGCAAAUAGCAGCAUAUACAAGGGAAAAGGAUGUGGGACACUUUUAAGUUCAUGAGCAAAUGCCCAAAUGGUCCCAUUAAGGGAGGCUUUGGGAAAGUGGGGUGCCCAGUCUGCUAGACAGGAGAGAUGCCUCUAAGUGUUUAUUUAUGAGCACCGGCUUGAGCCAUGUGGUGUAGUAUAGAAAUGGAAUAUGUGUCAAGGGUGAUAGAGCCCUGCUUCUGGUAUGAGAAAGUCAAACCUGCACUCAAAAUCAAUGCUGAAGAAACAUAAAAUUAUAAGAAUUCACCAGAGUAUGUCUUUCUUAUCAUCAACCAAGAGGAGAUUUGGGAAACUGCAUUACACUCGAUCAGAGUUGGGAAAACAAUAAUCAGAGAUACGUAUUUGAAGAAACUAUUCUGGGUACCUGGAACUCCCUGCAGAAAAAACGGAAGGAAAACAAAAGACACUCUAAAAAUAUUUACAAAACUUGUCAUUAUGUUAUUUGUAUAAGAUUU